UGUACAGCGGUUUGUUCAAAUUUAAGUAGUGCACUUAACACAGGCAUAAUACAGACAUAUACAUACAUCUAUACAUAUAGUAGGCUUAUAUAACAUAUAUCACGUGCAGUGUGCAAAUAAAGCAUCAAGGGUCUGUGCUGAUGAGAAUGGAAACAUUGAAACGGGUGCAAAUGUUACAUAGUUGAUUAAUUACAAGCAGGGGGAACUAUUGAGGUCUCUGAUGGCACUGGGGAAGAAGUUUCUUGAAGCGUCUUUUUUAUGUGGUUAUCGAUCUUAGUCAUCUAACACAGGGAAGCUGCAGGAACAGUUAAAGCACGGGUGCAUGACUGUGUGUCCCCAACACAAUCUGCUCUUGGAUCAUUGAUUCCUGUUGAUCCUUUCAUCUCCUCUCUGUCCAGGCAGUAUGAGUCGCAAAACCCCAUCAGACAUUAUGCAAGUGAGUUUCCUCCUGGGAUCAAAAAUGCAGAAGCAGAUCAGUCCAUGCCAUCUUUGGCUGGGAUACUCAAACUGGGGUCACCGCUGUGUUGAUGAGAAAAUGCAAAGGUUAUCAAACAGAUACAGAAGGGAGGAAAAGGGACUCUGAGAGCUGCAGUAGAAACAUACCAGAGGGGGAGAAUGAGAAGAAAAGAUAAGGAACACACAAGAGACCCUCUCCCCACAUCUGACAGCCUGAUGAUGAUGAAAAUGCUGAAAAACUAACCUUGGAAAUAAUGUCACAUUUUUUGAGGACAGGCCUCAUUUAGUUAAGUCAUUAAUUGUAGAAGAAUAAACAGCCUCCUCUGCCCUGCCCUAGCUCAAGGGUGAGGCCCACCCUGUCAGCCCUCCUCUGAGUGGCCGCUCUUGAGAGGGUCUGAUGUCUCUUGGCUCUUACACUUGCCGUCUGGUUGUGAGUGAGGUCAGAGUCACCGCGGCUGGCAGCCGGCACUGUAGGUAUGAGGGUGAAAGGUGACAAGUCUGAGGAACCAGAGCCUCCGCCCACUUCUGUCCAGAAGUUUCGGUCCUGACCAUGCAUAUGGUGCAGAAUUUAAAUCGCUUUUCAGCUCUCCAAAGGGCCACUACACUACAUUCUGCUGCCCUAGGAAUUUGAUGGAAAACUGACAUUUUGUAUAUGAUGUAAAUGCAGAUGCUGUGUGUGAUGCUGCAGAUCAAUGCCUGUCUUGCUUGGUAUGCAGCAUGGUCUCCUCUGCAUGAGUGCCCUAGCUGGCACCCGACUGGGGGCUUGGGUUCCGGAUAGAUCAGACAGGAAAAAAUUAAAGCCCCUGUUAAGUAUUUCAUCAUUUUUUCACCAAACAGAUUCUUUAAUGUCAUGCAAGCAUUCUUUUCCAACUAUGUUAAUUUUGCUAUUCAGUGUAGUGCAAGGUAAUCUGUUUUGCAAUGUUAAUCCAUUCAGUUUCUGUAGCUGCUUCUGUCCAGAGUGUGCAGGUGUGGCCUCUAAUCGACUGGCAUUCUCUGCAAAGAGCAGUCUGCCUGGAUCCUGUGUCUCCUGGAUGGGCUCUGUCCUGAAUGCGGGACUGAUGGAUGGAUGGAUGGAAUGGCUGCCAUGCUUAAAUAACCUUUAAACUGUUGAAUCUGGGGGUUAUUCAAUGAUUUACAUUUAUUUAUUCAUUUAUUUAUAUACCUAUAGUAGGGAAGGGUCACAGUUUACAUGUACUCCCUGCAAUGCUCCACUUGCUGAGCUUUAGGAGCUGGACAGGCUGUUAUAAAAAGUCUUAUAGGAAGAUCUUAUAACAAAUAAAAUGCUUUUUUCUUUUAA